UUUCAGUUAACUCCAGUCCUUGGUUCUGGGUUGGCCUACAGGAGGAUUUCCAAUUCAAAGUGAUGGACAACAGGAUUCAUGGACGUAAAAUAACAAUUACAUAUCAGAGUAUCCAAAAUUCCGGGUUUGUCUGGACGGUCGGACCAAACGUACAAGACUGUGUGGACGGGGCCAAAGCCAAUACUUCAAUACAAUUUUCGCCCUCAAUCUCUACAAUCUCCAUUCAAACGUGUUUUCCCUCCUGUAUGAAAAAAUAAAUAAAAACAGUUAUUACGGACACGCCACUGCAUCAAAUACUUCCUUCCCAUAGAAAUACCUACAGGAGCCAAAGGACUAGGGUGCCCAACAGCCGGAUCUGAUUCGACGCCACCUUUACUUACCAAAGGCAUCUGGCAUGGUCACGGUCACAUCAUCUGUAGCAGCGCUGUAGUCCGCAGAAAAAGCCCCCGGACGAAAUCUAUGUCAACAAAGACAUAGAACAAGAGGCACUGAACAUCGUUGUGCCGCAGUCUGCUCAGGGAGAGCCCCGUCUUCAGUCCUGACCCUGAGCCAGGGAAAGAGAGACGCCAGCCACAGUUAGUAUAAUCCUGAGCCACACCGCCAACGCCGCCAACGGCACCAACAGCAGUAGCACCACCGCCAACGGCACACCAACACUAACCGCAGCUGAUGGUGACUAGAAGAAACACAUCUGCUUACGUUUUCCUGGGUCUGAUAAAGAGGAAGCAUCUGUAACUGUCGAAGAUGAGCGUGACUAGAAGAAACACAUCUGCUUACGUUUUCCUGGGUCUGAUAAAGAGGAAGCAUCUGUAACUGUCGAAGAUGAGCGGUCAGUUGACAAGUAUGAAGCUAUUAGGAAGCAACAGGUGACUAAAUAGACCUUAGUUAAUAGUGUUACAAGCAUGGAUUUCUCUCUUACCAGUGCCAAAUCUCUUGCAGAUUUCACUUCUCCUUCGUCUGACGCAUUUCACAGUCAGAUUCAAACAUUCAUCUUGUAUGGGCAAUGUCAUGUAAUCAUGAAUUUCCUUUACUGUCUAAGCAAAAAAACAAUUGGACAGACAUGAUUCCAGUAAAACGUUAUCAAAUACAAUUAAAAGUAUCACAGAUUAAGAAGCUGCAUGCGUCUACAGUUUACCCUUUAUGUUACUCGUAUUAAGCCUACUAUGCAAAUAUGGGUGACAUAUUCAUUUGAGAGCUUAUAUGGCCCAUUUCAUUUCUAGAAUGCUAAGAGAAAAAAAGUCGAUCAUGGCUUCAGACAGUUUGAUCUAACCUGAUUAUCGUGGUAGAUUUGAAGUUGGUCGCACACUUCAUCGAAGGGGUACUUAUAUCUACCGUUGACGGUAAUGUUUUUACAUUGUACAGGUACCUCUUCGGGGGGUUUUAGACAGUAUAUGCGGUCUAAAAACGCGAUAGGGUUAUUGUUAGAUUAUACAUGCCUUUUGAAUGUAAAAUGUUAAUACAACUGUAUCCAACACAAUCACUAUUAUGCUAUCGACUGCAGCAGUUUAUACAUAAAUAAACAUAUUGCAACAUUCCUUUAAAUGAUCGUAGGCCAAGCCCACAGUUCACUUUAAACACGUGUCCAGCCUACUUCCAGACUAAUUUAACAAAGUUAAUCUGAGAAAUUAAUAAAAUUAAUAAAUUAA
ensembl:lncRNA